UACGUAGGGGGCCAGCGUUGCUCGGAAUUACUGGGCGUAAAGAGUCCGUAGGCGGUGUGGCAAGUCGGGAGUGAAAUCUCUGGGCUUAACUCAGAGGCUGCUUCCGAAACUGCCGUGCUAGAGUGUGAGAGAGGCGAGUGGAAUUCCUGGUGUAGCGGUGAAAUGCGCAGAUAUCAGGAGGAACACCGAUUGCGAAGGCAGCUCGCUGGGACGUAACUGACGCUGAGACGCGAAAGCGUGGGGAGCAAACAGG
rnacentral:rRNA from 1 species